GCCUACGGGACGCAGCAGUGGGGAAUAUUGCACAAUGGGGGAAACCCUGAUGCAGCGACGCCGCGUGAGUGAAGAAGUAUUUCGGUAUGUAAAGCUCUAUCAGCAGGGAAGAAAAUGACGGUACCUGACUAAGAAGCCCCGGCUAACUACGUGCCAGCAGCCGCGGUAAUACGUAGGGGGCAAGCGUUAUCCGGAUUUACUGGGUGUAAAGGGAGCGUAGACGGCCGUGCAAGUCUGAUGUGAAAACCCGGGGCUCAACCCCGGGACUGCAUUGGAAACUGUACAGCUAGAGUGCAGGAGGGGUG
rnacentral:rRNA from 1 species